rnacentral:rRNA from 1 species
AACGAACGCUGGCGGCAGGCCUAACACAUGCAAGUCGAGCGCCCCGCAAGGGGAGCGGCAGACGGGUGAGUAACGCGUGGGAAUCUACCUAGUGGUACGGAAUAGCCCCGGGAAACUUGGAGUAAUACCGUAUACGCCCGAAAGGGGAAAGAUUUAUCGCCAUUAGAUGAGCCCGCGUUGGAUUAGCUAGUUGGUGGGGUAACGGCCCACCAAGGCGACGAUCCAUAGCUGGUCUGAGAGGAUGAUCAGCCACACUGGGACUGAGACACGGCCCAGACUCCUACGGGAGGCAGCAGUGGGGAAUAUUGGACAAUGGGCGCAAGCCUGAUCCAGCCAUGCCGCGUGAGUGACGAAGGUCUUCGGAUUGUAAAGCUCUUUUGGCGGGGACGAUAAUGACGGUACCCGCAGAAUAAGCCCCGGCUAACUUCGUGCCAGCAGCCGCCGUAAAAC